rnacentral:misc_RNA from 1 species
AACGCACAUUGCGCCCGCCAGUACUCUGGCGGGCAUGCCUGUUCGAGCGUCAUUUCAACCCUCAAGCCCUGCUUGGUGUUGGGGUCCUACGGCUGCCGUAGGCCCUGAAAGCUAGUGGCGGGCUCGCUACAACUCCGAUCGCAGUAAUAUAUCUCGCUAGGGAAGUGUUGCGGGUUCCGGCCGUUAAACCCCCCAAUUUUACAAGGUUGACCUCGGAUCAGGUAGGAAUACCCGCUGAACUUAA